CCUACGGGUGGCAGCAGUAGGGAAUAUUGCUCAAUGGGGGAAACCCUGAAGCAGCAACGCCGCGUGGAGGAUGAAGGUUUUCUGAUUGUAAACUCCUUUUUUUAGAGAAGAUAAUGACGGUAUCUGACCAAUCAGCACCGGCUCCCUCCGUGCCAGCAGCCGCGGUACUACGGAGGGUGCAAGCGUUACUCGGAAUCACUGGGCGUAAAGCGCGCGUAGGCGGGAUAGCAAGUCAGAUGUGAAAUCCUAUGGCUUAACCAUAGAAUUGCAGUUGAAACUGUGAGUCUAGAGUAGGGGAGAGGUAGGUGGAAUGCUUGGUGUAGGGGUAAAAUGCGUAGAGAUCAAGAAGAAUACUCAUUGCGAAGGCGACCUGCUAGAACAUAACUGACGCUGAUGCGCGAAAGCGUGGGGAGCAAACAGGAUUAGAUACCCUUGUAGUC
rnacentral:rRNA from 1 species